GUCUACGGCCAUGCUACCCUGAACACGCCUGAUCCCGUCUGAUCUCAGAAGCUAAGCAGAGUCGGGCCUGGUUAGUACUUGGAUGGGAGACCACGUAGGAAGACCAGGUGCCGUAGGCG
rnacentral:rRNA from 1 species